rnacentral:piRNA from 1 species
UUUCACUUUAAAAACUUUUUA